rnacentral:rRNA from 1 species
GAUUGAACGCUGGCGGCAUGCCUUACACAUGCAAGUCGCAUUGUAACAGGUCUUCGGACGCUGACGAGUGGCGAACGGGUGAGUAAUACAUCGGAACGUGCCCAGUCGUGGGGGAUAACUACUCGAAGGAGUAGCUAAUACCGCAUACGAUCUGAGGAUGAAAGCGGGGGACCUUCGGGCCUCGCGCGAUUGGAGCGGCCGAUGGCAGAUUAGGUAGUUGGUGGGAUAAAAGCUUACCAAGCCGACGAUCUGUAGCUGGUCUGAGAGGACGACCAGCCACACUGGGACUGAGACACGGCCCAGACUCCUACGGGAGGCAGCAGUGGGGAAUUUUGGACAAUGGGCGAAAGCCUGAUCCAGCAAUGCCGCGUGCAGGAUGAAGGCCUUCGGGUUGUAAACUGCUUUUGUACGGAACGAAAAAGCUUCUCCUAAUACGAGAGGCCCAUGACGGUACCGUAAGAAUAAGCACCGGCUAACUACGUGCCAGCAGCCGCGGUAAUACGUAGGGUGCGAGCGUUAAUCGGAAUUACUGGGCGUAAAGCGUGCGCAGGCGGUUAUGUAAGACAGAUGUGAAAUCCCCGGGCUCAACCUGGGAACUGCAUUUGUGACUGCAUGGCUAGAGUACGGUAGAGGGGGAUGGAAUUCCGCGUGUAGCAGUGAAAUGCGUAGAUAUGC